CUAGCCGUAAACGAUGGGUACUAGGUGUAGGUGGUUUCGAUACCAUCUGUGCCGGAGUUAACGCAAUAAGUACCCCGCCUGGGGAGUACGUGCGCAAGCAUGAAACUCAAAGGAAUUGACGGGGGCCCGCACAAGCGGUGGAGCAUGUGGUUUAAUUCGAAGCAACGCGAAGAACCUUACCAGGCCUUGACAUCCCCUGACCGUCAUGGAAACAUGGCUUCUCUUCGGAGCAGGGAGACAGGUGG
rnacentral:rRNA from 1 species